CGCUGAGUUUGAUCCUGGCUCAGAUUGAACGCUGGCGGCAUGCCUUACACAUGCAAGUCGAACGGUAACGCGGGGCAACCUGGCGACGAGUGGCGAACGGGUGAGUAAAGCAUCGGAACGUGCCCAGUAGUGGGGGAUAGCCCGGCGAAAGCCGGAUUAAUACCGCAUACGACCUACGGGUGAAAGGGGGGAUCGCAAGACCUCUCGCUAUUGGAGCGGCCGAUGUCAGAUUAGGUAGUUGGUGGGGUAAAGGCUCACCAAGCCAACGAUCUGUAGCUGGUCUGAGAGGACGACCAGCCACACUGGAACUGAGACACGGUCCAGACUCCGUACGGGAGCAGCAGUGGGGAAUUUUGGACAAUGGACGCAAGUCUGAUCCAGCCCAUUCCCGCGUGCAGGA
rnacentral:rRNA from 1 species